rnacentral:lncRNA from 1 species
GAAGAGAUUGUGACAUAUCACUGAACUGAGCACCUUGGUGAUGUGACUAUCCUCUCUUGCUCAAGUGUCACAUAUUAUUGGUAUUGUGACAUACCUCUGUGACCAACACCUAUGGGUAGGAAAACUUCCACCCAGACUCAGCCCAAGGGACCCUCAUCACUUUUUUAAAAGAUAUGUGACUUGAAAAAUGUGACUGUCUUCUGCCUAUACCCUGCCCUCAGGGAAGAUUGUGGCAUAUUACUGAACUAGGCAACCUAGUGAUGUGUCUCUUCUGACAGGGGUUUGCCCACAUAGACAAUUGUGACAUAUCACUGGGCUCAGGACCCAGGUGAUGUGACUCUGCUGCCUGUUCCCAACGUUCAAGAGAGGAUUGUAACAUAUCCCUGGCCAAGAACUCAGGUGAUUUGACUCUCCUGCCUUGUCCCUGUCCUCAGAGAAGAUUGUGAUAUAUCUUCAGCCCCAAACCCAGGUCAUGUGACUUCCCCACUCGCUCCCUAUUCAGAGGAGAAACUAUUACAUAUAUCCUGGGCCAGCUCACAGGUGUGAUGACAAUUCUCAUACCUCAAACAAGCCAAUAGAAGAGAUACUGUUUCUCAUUGCUAGGCUUAGAAAAACUGGUAAAAUACCUGUGUCUCUUUGUAUGAAGGUCAUAGAGAACUACCACAAACUUGUAUAUGGAAUAAAACCCUUCAGUGGUACAGAGAGUGUCAUCACAUGUCCCAAAACAAAGAGGAUAUUGCGUUUCUUGUAUGCACAUCCAGCCAGCUGUUAGGAUUGUCACCCUAACACCUGGAUACAACCCAUUGGUGAGGUCUUGUGUCUCACAUGCAGAUGCAAUCUACAGUUUGAUUCCUGACUGUCAUAUGUAAACACCUGUCCAAAGUUGGGAUGCUGACUCAUUUCUAGACCCAGCUCAUAGACAAGUGAGGACUCUCCUGUCUGGGUCCAGUCAAUUUGAGAAAUAUUGACUUUUCUACCUGGGCUUAGGGAGCAGUACAAAGGUCUCAGGGCAAAUUGUGGCUCUCAUUCCUAUUCUACAAUGAUCUUGGGUAGUAUAGAGAAUGUCCUAACAGGGUUCAGCACACAGGUAAGAUUGUGACAGUGAUAUCCACACCCAGCUGACAGUAAAAAUUGACAUCUUUCCUCAUGAAUACAGCCCACUGAAUACAGCCCACUGUUGAGGCAUUGAAUCUCAUAACCAAAGGCAGUGGAAAAUUGAAACAUUGUCUCUUGCUUGUAGACCCAAUCCACAGGUGGAUUGGUUACUCUCAGAUCAAAAUUCAGCACACUUAUGAGGCCAUCACUCCAGUAAGAAAACAGAAUUUGCAGAACAAAUUGAGGCUUCCAUGCACAAAUUCAGCCCACUACUGAGACUGUGACUCAUUUACUUAGACCCAACAUAUAGGAAGUGUUGACUCUUAUACCUAGAAUUGGGACAUGUGUAAGAUUGUUCAUCUUUUCCUUAGACUUUCCUGCAGGAGUGAUGCUGACAUGUUCCUCUAUUUGGCAUCUGAGUGAUAUGACCCUUGCCAUGGUCUAGCCCACAGAUGGAAUUGUGAUGUGUUGCUCUACCCAGCACCUAGGUGAUGUGACUCCAUUUUUCUGCCUUGACACUGUCCAUAAAAGGUAUUUUGACAUAUCUCUGGGAUAUGUACCCAGGUUACAUGACUCUCCUGCCUGUGUCCUGUCCACAAAUUAUGAAAUAUUACUGGGUCCAACACCCAGGGAUGUAACUCUCAUGCCUAGGCCCUGCCAACAGGGGGCAUUAUGACAAAUCUGUGUGCCAAUAACCCAGGUAAUGUGACUCUCUUUUUUUGCAUGGUCCCUGCUCACAGGGGGCAUUAUGACAUAUUGCUGAACUCAGCAUCUAACUGAUGUGAUUCUCCUUUCUACUUUUUGCCCACAGUGGAGAUUGUGACAUAUCACUGGGCCUCAAACUAAUGUGAUGUUACACUUUCAUUUUUGAACUGAACUCAGAAGGCACUGUGACAUAUUCCUGGGAACAGCACCAAGGUUAUCCCACUGUUGAGGUCCUGAAUCUCCCACCCAGAGGCAGUGGAAAGUUGGAGAAUUAACUCUCAUGCGUGGAUCUGAUACAUAGGGUAUUGUGACAUAUUGCUAGGCCCAUUAUCUAGAUGAUGUGACUCUCUUUGCUUGCCUGUGCACCACCCAAAAGGGACAUUGUGACACAUCUCUGAACCAAUUUCCUACAUAAUAUGCCUCUUCAUUGCUGCCUGAGAAAUGCCCCCAAAGAGGAUUGUGACAUGUCUCUGGGCCCAGAACCUGAAUGUUGUGACUCUCCUGCCUUGACAUAGAGGAAAUAUUAUGAUAUGUCACUCGGCCCUGCACACAAAUGAUGUUACUCUCCUGCCUGGGCCUUGCUUAUAGAGGGGAUUGAGACAUUUUACAGGUGAAGAAUUCAAGUGACAUCAUUCUCAUUUCUCAGCCUUUCCUGCAGGUAAGAUUGUGACAUAUUACUUAGCCCAGCACACAGAUGAAAUUUUUCCGCUUGUAUGCAAACCCAGCCAACAGGGGCUAUUGUCACCAUAACACAUGAAUAAAGACCACUGUUGAGGUCCUGAAUCUUAUAUGUGAACACAUCAACAGUUGGAAUCGUGACUGUCAUAUGUAUAUCUUGCCGUAAGUGGGAUGGUGACUCAUUUCUGGACUCAGCUCACAGGAAUAGUGAUGACUCUGAUACCUGGACCAAGCCAGUAAGAGAGAUGUUGACUCUGGGGUCAACCUAGACUUAGGGGUCUGGGUCUUUUACUUGUAGGAAGGCAACAGAAGAUUAUGAAACUUACACAUAUGGUAUAAAGCUCUUGGGGAAUACAGAGUGUCAUUACAGGGCCCAGUCCACAGGUGAGAUUGUAACCCUCCUAUAUACAUCUGGCCAACAAUUUGAAUUGCCACCUUCACAUAUAGACCGAGCCCAUUGCUGAGGUCCUGAAUCUCACACAUAAACCUAUUUCACCAUUGAAAUUGUUACUGUCAUAUGUGGAUUCAGCCACAGGUUGGAUGAUGACAAAUUUCUGAACCCAACCCACUUGCACAAUGAACCCAGCCAGCAGAAGAUGUGUUGAUUUUGAGGCUUAGGGCAAGAAGCAAGGUUUUGUGUUUCUCACUUGUAUGAAAGUCACAGAAAAUUUUCAAACUCACUCAUGUUGUAUAAUGCCCUCAGGUUGUACGGAGAGUGUCAUUACAUAACUCAGCACAAAGUGGAGAUUGUGACUCUCAAGCGCACACCAAGCCAAGAGUAAAAAUUGUCAUAGACACACAUAGACAGAACCCACUGGUGAGGUCUUGAAUCUCAUUCUCAGAUGAGUCUACAGUUUGAAUUUUUAAUGUCAUGUUUGGAUCCAGCCACAGGUGGGAGAGUGACUCAUAUCUGAACCCAACUAAGAGGCACAGUCAUGAUUUUCAUACCUGGACCCAGCCAAUAUGAGAGGUGUUGACUCUCAUACCUGGACUUAGGAAAAGAGGCCAUGCCAGUUGAGGGGGAUUGUGACAUAUCGUUGGACCAGCACAAGGGAAAUUGAAAACUCCUGCCUAGGCCAUUCCCAUAGAAGGCAUUGUGACAUAUCACUGGUCACAGCACACAGGUGAGAAUUUUACAUAAAACUGCACCCAGCACACAGGUGAAAUUGUGACUCUUGGAUGUUCAUCCAGCCAACAGUUAUGAGUGUCAUCAUCGCACAUGGACAGAGAACUCUGGUGAGGUCCUGAAUCUUGUACACGGACAUAGUCCACAGUUGGAAUUUUGACUGUCAUGUGUAGAUCCAGCCACAGGUGUGAUGUUGACCUGUUUAUGGAGUUAGCUCACAGGCACAGUGAGAACUCUCAUAUCUUGACCCAGUCAAUAGAAGAGAUGCUGACUCUUAUAGCUAGGCUUAAGGAAAUUAAUAGGGUCCUGGGUCUCCUACCUGUAUGAAAGUCACAGAAGAUUAUGACACUCAUGCAUAUUGUAUAAAGCCCUCUGGUGGUAUAGAGAUUAAUUAACAGGGCCCAGCACACAGGUGAGAUUGUGACUUUGUUAUGCAGACACCGCUGACAGUACCAUCACCCUCACAUAUAAACAGAGCCCACUGGUGAGGUCCUAAAUUUCAUGCCCUGACACAGUUCACAGUUGGGAUUGUGACUGUGAUAUUUCAAUCUGAUCACAGGUGAGAUGGUGACUCAUUUCUGGAUCCAGCUUAGAAAAUAGUGAAGGCUCUUUCACCUGGACUCAGCCAAAUGGAGAGACGUUGACUCUGUUAACUAGGCUUAGGGCAGCACAUAAGGUUCUAGGUCUCCUGCUUGCAUAAAGGUAGCAGAGGAUUAUGACACUAUACAUAUUGUACAAAGUCCCCCAUUGGUCCUGAGAGGGUCAUAACAGGGUCUGGCACACAGGUGAGACUGUGACUCUGGUAUGCACACAGGCAGAGUAAGGAUUAUCAACCUCCUACAUGGACACAGCCCACUGUUGAGAUUCUGAAUCUCACAACCAGAAGCAGUCAAAAGUUGGAGUUGUGACUCUCAUAGGUGGAUGUGGUCCACAGCUGAGAUGAUGACCUCAGACCAGGAGGCAGCACACCUGGAGGCUGUGACUCCUCUACCGAGAUGCAGUCUGCAGGUGUGAUUGUGGCUGUCAUGCACAAAUCCAGUCCACCUUUGACAUUGUGACACCCUUACUGAGACCCAGUUCACAGGAGGAGUUCACUCUGAUACAUAGAGCU